AAAGUCGUAACAAGGUUUCCGUAGGUGAACCUGCGGAAGGAUCAUUAUUGAAUAAAACUUGGUUAGGUUGUUGCUGACUCCUCGGGGAAUGUGCACGCCUUUCCACUUUUUUAAACCACCUGUGCACCUUUGUAGACUUCAGAUAUCCCUCGAGUUUUCACCAACUCGGAUGGAGGACUGCUGCGCUCGCAAGAGUCGGCUUUACCUUACAUUUCUGAGCCUACGUCUUUUCAUAUACACUGCAUGUUACAGAAUGUUAUUGAUAAGGCUUUGCCUUUUAAAUAAAUACAACUUUCAACAACGGAUCUCUUGGCUCUC
rnacentral:misc_RNA from 1 species